GCGCAGGUGGCGAAACAGGUAGACGCACUGGAUUUAGAUUCCAGCGCCGCAAGGCGUAAGGGUUCAAAUCCCUUCCUGCGCACCA
rnacentral:tRNA from 1 species